CCUGUGAUUUCAGAAGAAAAUUUUUAUGUUACAAAUGGUAAGUGUGAAUAACAAGAAUCGUAAUAGCAACGAAGAGAAUCAGGAAAUGUUGUGUGAAAGGAUGUGAAGAUGUUAUCAGCAUGAGUCAUAGUUUUCCCAAAAACAAUCAAACACUAUUCAAGAUAUGGAUAGACAAUAUCAAACCCAAGUAUUGGGAAACAUUAUCUGUGCUGCAAAUCUAUAACAGAUAUUUAGUAUGUCAUUCCCAUUUUGAGAUGUGCUAUUACCUGGUACGAAGUUCGAGAGGCCUCACAGUUAAUGCAUUUCCUACAUUACAUUGGGUGUUUCGAGUGUUAAUAAUAAUGUUGAUGAAUAAAUGGACAUAUUAUUAAAAUAUGAAACAGAAAUUGAAAUAUCACAGCCUGAAGAUUCAGAGGGGGUGUUAUGGAGUUAACAACACAAAAUGGUGUUAAUAAUAAUGCUGAUGAGCCAUUGAACAUAUCAAAAUAUAAAACUGAAAGGGAAAUAUCACAGCCUGAAGAAUCAGAGAGUGUUAUGGAGCUAACAACACAAAAUGAUACAAUACAAUACAAUUCAAGAUAAUUUUUUCUACAUUAUUCAUAUUGAUAAAUUCAACCUUGCUUUAUUAUUUUUUCCUGAAGGUUAUUUAUUCAUUUACUCAACUCAAUACAAAAAUCAUAAUAACAUUAUAUUGCAUUCAUAUUUUUUUUUAUAUUUUCAUUUUAUAUUGACGUGGAUACUUAUAUACAUUUACUUAUCAUAUACAUAUAUCUUUUCUUAUA